AGCAGCAGCUGGCUUUUGCAGGAAGGCCCAGGGGAGCAAUGCAAAUCUCUUUAGAAAUAUAGUGGGCUGAUUCUCUUGAGGGGUGAACUCUGAGAAAUCACAGGGAGACACACUGAAUCCCCUGAGACUCCCCUUCUGUGUGUACAAAAACCCUGUUGCUGGAAAUGGCCUUUCGGAAGCCGACAAGGGGCUGAGUGGAUGGCGCCCAGCCAGGCUGAACGGAGGACUCAUGCGGCCAGGGACGGAGAAAUUUUCCUUUUGCUGCCCAUGGGCCUCAGGUACAAAGAGUUGAGUUAAUUAUGUUUCUUGGCUCGAUGGAUACCUCCCUCCCCAGCAAAACCUAACCAUCUCACCAAUGCCUCCUGAGUGGGGUUAUUUACGGUUGUGACAAAACACACAUGUGCAUUUUAAAGUUAACUCAUAUUUAUAAAACUGUGCCAGAAUACAGCUCUUAUUCCAUUGUGAGAGUUCCGUCUUAAUCUUGUCAGCCUAAAUCAAGGCAAGCUCAAAUGACGAGACAUUUAUUCUGGGAUGGUAGAGGAAUUGCAAUUAAGGAAAUACUCAUCACAGUAAGCUGCAGGUGAGUCUGUUGAGGGCGUGGGGUGGGCUGUACAGACAGGCAAGGAACACAAAGGGGGAGGCCCAGCCAGAGUGCAAGCAGUAAGGUGACUAGCUUGAGGAUGCGGAGGGCGUCUUGGUGGAUGUUCACUGGUCAGGAGUUACAAUUCAGACUUGGCUCAUACCUUCCUCAUGCAUUGUGUUACGAAGAGAAGAGUCAUCUGGGAUUCACAAGGUUCACCCAAAAGACUUUCAGGCUCAUCCUCCCUCCCUGUUCUCACACCUCGUGGCGAUGGAAUGGAUGUAUUUUUAAAAGGUAGAGUGUCAGAGUGGAGUUGACUGGACACUCCAGCUGGUUUGAAGAAUUACCUACUGGCAUACGGAGCCUUUCAGCCUCCGCAAUGGGCAUUGGAUGUGGAAAAUUUAGUAGUCAAGGGCGGCACCUUUCUAUCAAGCUGGGGACCCAACCAAGCACCCACAGAACCACAGGUGGAAGGACACAAAAGACAAGAAGUUCCGCAGAGGAUCUCCCCUCUCAAGGCUGAAAUGUUGGAGAAUUUUAUUCAGGAUUUGCUCACCUGGGGUCUCUCUGUCACAUUUUGUUAAUUCCCGCAGUAGCUGAAAACCCUCCACCAGCAUAAAGAUUAUAACUCACUGAAGGGUAAGAUAAUGGUUAGCAUUUUUUAGCCAUGAGGUAUUUUUAAAUGAAGGUAUGUACAUUUUCUUAGAUAAAAUGCUAUUGCACACUUAAUAGACUACACUAGUGUGUAAACAUAAAUUUGGGGGGAACCAAAAAACUCGUGUGACUUGCUUUCUUGCGAAAAGCAAUUUAUUGCCGUGGUCUGGAACAGAAACCACAGUAUCCCUGAGGUAUGCCUGUAUACGUGCGUGUGUCAAGAGAAUGAUAUUUAUUUUAAGGAAUUGGCUCCUGGCGAUUUGGGGGGUUGGCGAGUCCAAAGUAUGUAGGACAGACUCAGGCAGGAAUUAGUGUUACAGUCUUGAGCUAGAAUUUCUUCUCCAGGAAGCUCCGUUUUUGCUCUUAAGGCCUUUCAACUGGUUGCAUGAGGCCCGCCCACCCCACGUUCUUGGAGGUAAUCUGCUUAAGGACAACUGAUUAUAGAUGUUAAUCACAUCUACAAAAUACCUUCACAGCCACACCUCGAGUAUUAAAUAACUAGAGCCCUGCCAAGUUGGCCCAUAAAAUUACCUUGUACCUUGGAACUCUUUAAAGAACAGCUUCCACUUAGGCCUAAUGAGCAAAAUAGAACAAAGCAGAAAUGCUCUGGCUAAUUUAGAAUUGGGGGUCCUGCAGCCGGCCUCUCAUUCCUCAGGCUCCUGGCCAGUCUCAGCUCUGCCUCCUCCCCCAAGGGAGCUCUAAGAAACAUAGUUUCAAACACCUGGCCUUAUAUUUCUAAGGAACAUAGUUUCAAAAACCUGUAAAAUAAAGAUAGUAAUACUUGACUGGGGAUUACAUUAGAUCACCUGAGUAAAAGCUUUUAGUGCAAUGUCUGGCAUAUUCAUAGGAAUUUUAUACAUAUUAGCAGCUUCUACUAUUCUCAAUCAGAACAGUUGAAAAAUAACUUUUCUUGCAAAGAAGGGAAUGCUUGAAAUAUUUUGGUUUAGGCCUUGGUGUGUCACAGUGAAUUCCUAUGGAGUCCUUCAGCCUCUCUACUCUUGCUGCUUCCCUGGUGCCCAGGUGAAACAGCUUCUUAUCCCUGGCACCAGCUGAGCUUCUGCAUGGACGAUGUCUUUGUGGUCCCAGCACUGGGACAAGCUGUCAGAUCUGAGGGGGUCUUUGUUCUCCUUACUGCCUCUUGACCAAGGGCAUAACUGGGGUUUAUCUCACCUGGCAGCUGGAGAGAGUAAACACCAGAUCUUCCUUAACUUCAACUGCAAAGAAAUAGCAUGAUGUCAACUUUGCAAUUUUCUGUUAUGUGAAAACAAACAACAGUGCUCUCGAUUCUUAGAAAUUAGAAUUUGAAAAGCAAAAGAAGUUGCUUUCUAUAAGGCUCACUUUGCCUACAAAUAAUUUAAUAGAGGAGGGGACACAAAUGUGUUUAAGGGAACAAAAGUCUGAUGUUUAUAAGGGGCCUUGAGCACCUAGGAGUUUAAAAAGCAGUGUGGAACAACAGAGAAUUUUCUUUCUCAAACUAUGGGCUAAUUACAUUACGAGAUUGUAUUUCAACAGCAUGGGUUUUAGAAAAUCACCCCGGACUUUGGAAAAAAAGUCUGCUCAUUUCAGUAACACAUGAAGAUAAUAUACCUCCUUUAAUUUCUCUGACAAUUGGUAUUUAUGCGGCGUGGGAUAGAAGCGCCUCUAGCUCAUUGCACUACAGCUGUAUUGACUCUUAUGAUAAGAAAAGCAGUGGAAAAAAAAGUCUGCUCUUUUAGUAAAGUGGCAAAUAUAACUUGAAAACAAAUGUAACUUGAAAGUUCCUUUGAGUGUGACUUUGCUAGUUUCCUGAUGACAGCCUUAGUUUACAUCAAGUGGCUUAAGACAAUUUCCAUUCAAUAUAACGGACAUUUCUUAUCUAUAUUUAAUGUUAAUUAUUGCUAUAGUUAAGGCCGAAAAAAGGCAGCGUAGGAGUUCCCCUUGUGGCUCAGAGGGUUAAGAACCCAACUAGCAUCCAUGAGGCCUCGCUCAGUGGGUUAAAGAUCUGGCAUUGCUAUGAGCUACGGUGUAGGUCACAGA